rnacentral:tRNA from 9 species
UCCUCGAUAGCUCAACGGUAGAGCAAUCGGCUGUUAACCGAUAGGUUGCUGGUUCGAAUCCAGCUCGGGGAGCCA